CCUACGGGAGGCAGCAGUGAGGAAUAUUGGUCAAUGGACGAGAGUCUGAACCAGCCAAGUAGCGUGAAGGAUGACUGUCCUAUGGGUCGUAAACCUCUUUUAUCAGGGAAUAAAAUGUGCCACGUGUGGGAUUUUGUAUGUACCUUAUGAAUAAGGAUCGGCUAACUCCGUGCCAGCAGCCGCGGUAAUACGGAGGAUCCGAGCGUUAUCCGGAUUUAUUGGGUUUAAAGGGAGCGUAGGUGGAUUGUUAAGUCAGUGGUGAAAGUUUGGGGCUUAACCGUAGACUUGCAGUUGAAACUGGCAGUCUUGAGUACAGGAGAGGUGGGCGGAAUUCGUGGUGUAGCGGUGAAAUGCUUAGAUAUCGCGAAGAACUCCGAUUGCGAAGGCAGUUUACCGG
rnacentral:rRNA from 1 species